CAACAGCUGACCACUGCUGGGAACUCGGGAAAGAAAACCAAGACCCCAAUGAUCCCAAUACGCUGACAGUCAGCAAAAUGUCCUGCAAGAGAACCCCUGUCCUGCCAAGCCCUGUCAGCACUCCAGAGGAUCCUUUGGCAGUUGUCUCUGAUGAUCUUUGAAAGCCCCCUUGCUGAAGUCUGCAGAGUGCCUCCACCACCCCUGCCACGGGCUCAGGACAUGCUCCCAGAGCUGUGGAGUGUGACAAUGGUGUUUGUGUCCAGUCUAUCAAACGCCAUUAUCACACUAAAUAGCUACUGGCAGACAAGGCAUCAGGUCAGGAAGGUCUGGGACCUCUGGCACUGCAUCUGCCCACUGUGCUGAGGAAUAAAGAGCCUGGGUGCAUGUACAGCUUGAGAUUUUCUUUUUCCUGUUGGACUAACCAGGACAAUAGAAAACUGAAGCCAAUUAGCUGAUGAAGUGAAACUCCGGCUCUUACUUUGGUACCAAAUCACAACAUAGGUUUGGAAUAUUGACUGAGGUGCUCAUGACAACCUUCAAACACUUUCCAAAAUUCUGAUUAAAAUUUAUUGCCUCUAACUUGAAACAUCAUUUAUCCAGGUUCCACAUGCUUCCAGCUUUGCUCCCUUCCAUGUCACAAUGAUUUGAGCACCACACCCAAGCCCACUGCCCUUAUGUUCUAAACCUUCUCUUUUGGGAAUGGCCACUGCACCAAAUGCCUCUCCAGUGUGUAUCUGUGGAACAGGAACAUGGCUCAGUGCUGAGCUUUUAGCUGUGCAAAAAGGAAAAGGUGUCAGGUCCUUAGUGAGCAGGUGGAAGGGGAGGGCUGGGCUGAUCCACAGCACAAGGCCAGGCCCUGUCCCUUGUCUGCAGGGAGCAGAUAAACAGAUUGCAAAGACUGAUGCAGUGGGCCAGAUCCAAAAACUCUGGCCCAGACUGGGCACCUGUAAGCCACUAAUCAUCAAUGCUACCCAGUGACAUUGCUCUGCCACCACUGCAAAACAAGCAUGGUUAUUUCAGAGGGAGCUGCUUGGCCACAUGCAGACUCCAAACCUGUUCUACAACAGGAGAGGUGCAAGCACAACAGUACUGUAACAUCAGGGUGCAGACUCAAGGAAGCUUGCACGG